rnacentral:rRNA from 1 species
GCAAGUCGAACGCUUCAGCAAUGAAGAGUGGCAGACGGGUGAGUAACGCGUGGGAACCUUCCCAGUGGUACGGAAUAGCCCAGGGAAACUUGGGGUAAUACCGUAUAAGCCCUUAGGGGGAAAGAUUUAUCGCCAUUGGAUGGGCCCGCGUCGGAUUAGCUUGUUGGUGAGGUAAAAGCUCACCAAGGCGACGAUCCGUAGCUGGUCUGAGAGGAUGAUCAGCCACACUGGGACUGAGACACGGCCCAGACUCCUACGGGAGGCAGCAGUGGGGAAUAUUGGACAAUGGGCGCAAGCCUGAUCCAGCCAUGCCGCGUGAGUGACGAAGGCCUUAGGGUUGUAAAGCUCUUUUGGCGGGGACGAUAAUGACGGUACCCGCAGAAUAAGCUCCGGCUAACUUCGUGCCAGCAGCCGCGGUAAUACGAAGGGAGCUAGCGUUGUUCGGAAUUACUGGGCGUAAAGCGCACGUAGGCGGACUUGUUAGUCAGGGGUGAAAUCCCGGGGCCCAACCUCGGAACUGCCUUUGAUACUGCAAGUCUUGAGUCCGGAAGAGGUGGGUGGAAUUCCUAGUGUAGAGGUGAAAUUCGUAGAUAUUAGGAAGAACACCGGUGGCGAA